CUGUAUUUCCUAAUAAUGUUAGUAGUAAAUGUCCUGCAAUUAUAUUAGCUGCUAAUCGAACUGCUAAAGUUCCUGGACGAAUUACGGUACUAAUUGUUUCAAUACAAACUAUAAAAGGUAUUAAAAUUGCUGGAGUUCCCUGUGGGACUAAAUGAGCAAAUAUNGAAGGGCCUGUAUUUCCUAAUAAUGUUAGUAGUAAAUGUCCUGCAAUUAUAUUAGCUGCUAAUCGAACUGCUAAAGUUCCUGGGCGAAUUACAUUACUAAUUGUUUCAAUGCAAACUAUAAAAGGUAUUAAAAUUGUUGGGGUUCCUUGUGGGACUAAAUGAGCAAAUAUAUGUUGAGUAUUAUUAAUUCAUCCGUAAAUUAUAAAACAUAAUCAUAAAGGUAGGGCCAAAGUUAAAGUUAAUGUUAAAUGACUUGUUCUUGUGAAAAUAUAAGGAAAUAAUCCUAUGAAAUUAUUAAAUAAAAUUAAUGAAAA